UAACACAUGCAAGUCGAACGGACCUAGCCCGGUAGUAAUAUUGGGCGACGGUUAGUGGCGAACGGGUGAWGUAACGCGUGAGCAACCUGCCUUUCAGAGGGGGAUAACAACUGGAAACAGUUGCUAAUACCGCAUAAUGUAUUUAGAUGGCAUCAUUUGGAUACCAAAGGUUAAAUCCGCUGAGAGAUGGGCUCACGUCUGAUUAGCUAGAUGGUAGGGUAAGGGCCUACCAUGGCUGCGAUCAGUAGCCGGUCUGAGAGGAUGAACGGCCACAUUGGGACUGAGACACGGCCCAGACUCCUACGGGAGGCAGCAGUGGGGAAUAUUGGGCAAUGGGCGCAAGCCUGACCCAGCAACGCCGCGUGAAGGAAUAAGGCCUUCGGGUUGUAAACUUCUUUUAUUAGGGACGAAGGAUGUGACGGUACCUAAUGAAUAAGCCACGGCUAACUACGUGCCAGCAGCCGCGGUAAUACGUAGGUGGCAAGCGUUGUCCGGAUUUACUGGGUGUAAAGGGCGCGUAGGCGGGAAUGCAAGUCAGAUGUGAAAUCCAUGGGCUCAACCCAUGAACUGCAUUUGAAACUGUGUUUCUUGAGUGAUGGAGAGGCAGGCGGAAUUCCUAGUGUAGCGGUGAAAUGCGUAGAUAUUAGGAGGAACACCAGUGGCGAAGGCGGCCUGCUGGACAUUAACCGACGCUGAUGCGCGAAAGCGCGGGGAGCAAACAGGAUUAGAUACCCUGGUAGUCCGCGCCGUAAACGAUGAAUACUAGGUGUGGGGGGACUGACCCCUUCCGUGCCGGAGCAAACGCAAUAAGUAUUCCACCUGGGGACUACGGUCGCAAGACUAAAACUCAAAGGAAUUGACGGGGGCCCACACAAGCAGUGGAUUAUGUGGUUUAAUUCGAAGCAACGCGAAGAACCUUACCGGGGUUGACAUCCGACUAACGAAGCAGAGAUGCAUUAGGUGUCUUCGGGAAAGUCGAGACAGGUGGUGCAUGGUUGUCGUCAGCUCGUGUCGUGAGAUGUUGGGUUAAGUCCCGCAACGAGCGCAACCCUUGUUGUUAGUUGCUACGUAAGAGCACUCUAACGAGACUGCCGUUGACCAAACGGAGGAAGGUGGGGACGACGUCAAAUCAUCAUGCCCCUUAUAUCCGGGCUACACACGUAAUACAAUGGCGUUUAACAACGGGAAGCGAAGGAGCGAUCCGGAGCGAAUCCCCAAAGGCGUCUCAGUUCGGAUUGCAGGCUGCACUCGCCUGCAUGAAGUAGGAUUGCUAGUAUCGCGAUCAGCAUGCCGCGGUGAUACGUUCCCGGGCCUUGUACACACCGCCCGUCACACCAUGAGAGUCGGGAACACCCGAAGCCGGUAGUCUAACCUGAUAAGGAGGGCGCCGCCGAAGGUGGGCUUGAUAUUAAGGGUG
rnacentral:rRNA from 1 species